GACGAACGCUGGCGGCGUGCUUAACACAUGCAAGUCGAACGGCAAGGCCCUGCUUUCGUGGGGUGCUCGAGUGGCGAACGGGUGAGUAACACGUGUGUAACCUGCCCUUGACUUUGGGAUAACUUCAGGAAACUGGGGCUACUACCGGAUAGGAGCUCCUGCUGCAUGGUGGGGGUUGGAAAGUUUCGGCGGUUGGGGAUGGACUCGCGGCUUAUCAGCUUGUUGGUGGGGUAGUGGCUUACCAAGGCUUUGACGGGUAGCCGGCCUGAGAGGGUGACCGGCCACAUUGGGACUGAGAGACGGCCCAGACGCCUACGGGAGGCAGCAGUGGGGAAUAUUGCACAAUGGGCGGAAGCCUGAUGCAGCAACGCCGCGUGCGGGAUGACGGCCUUCGGGUUGUAAACCGCUUUCGCCUGUGACGAAGCGUGAGUGACGGUAAUGGGUAAAGAAGCACCGGCUAACUACGUG
rnacentral:rRNA from 1 species